rnacentral:rRNA from 1 species
UACGUAGGCAGCGAGCGUUGUUCGGAGUUACUGGGCGUAAAGAGUGCGUAGGCGGUUUUCUAAGUUUGGUGUGAAAUCUCCCGGCUUAACUGGGAGGGUGCGCCGAAGACUGGAAGGCUUGAGUAUGGGAGAGGUAAGCGGAAUUCCUGGUGUAGAGGUGAAAUUCGUAGAUAUUAGGAAGAACACCAGAGGCGAAGGCGGCUUUCUGGACCAAUACUGACGCUGAGGCGCGAAAGCGUGGGGAGCAAACAGG